rnacentral:rRNA from 1 species
UUAGCUGCAGAAGAAGCACCGGCUAACUCCGUGCCAGCAGCCGCGGUAAUACGGAGGGUGCGAGCGUUAAUCGGUAAUUACGUGGGACGUAAAGCGCAUGCAGGUUGGUUUAGUUAAGUCAGAUGUAGAAACGGCCCGGGGCUACAACCGUACGGUAAUUGCUAUUUAGAAACUGGACAAACUAGAGUACUGUAGAGGGGGUAGAAUUUCAGGUGUAGCGGUGAAAUGCGUAGAGAUCUGAAGGAAUACCGGUGGCGAAGGCGGCCCCCUGGACAGAUACUGACACUCAGAUGCGAAAGCGUGGGGAGCAAACAGGAUUAGAUACCCCGGAG